CAGGGAUGGAUACUUUCACAGGUCAGGGGAGGUCAGUUUCCUCUUAGUCCUCAAAGGUGCGGGCUGAUUAGCAGGUCAGCUGUCUGAGCAAGACAGUAUUGAACCCAAGCCACCACUGUGAAGGGCGCCCGGAGGAUCUUUCUGGCGCAGAACAGCUCCGGCAAGCGACAGCCAAUCCAAGAUCUUUGCUCACCCUCUGGCGCUCAAGAAGGGGAGAGAUGGCAAGUAGAUGAGCCUCAAGGAGAAAGGAGAGAAAGUCUGUGCUGAACAGGUGUGUUCCCUUUCAAAGCCAAUUGCCCUGUUUGGCUCAGUGAGG
rnacentral:lncRNA from 1 species